GUAGGCCUUGACCAGUUUGACCUCCCCCAAGGCCCCCUCACGCAGCCGUCGGCCCACCUCGACGUAAGUGGGGAAGCAGCGAGACCAGACUGCCUGAGAGGGACAGGGUGGCUGCUCGUCACUUCCUUUCUGACACUUUGGACACAUGUUUUCUUUUUAUAAUUAUUUUUUUGCCGGAAUAUUUUUCAACAUUUCCACUGAAAGCCCGCCAGAAGCAUGUGGAGAAUCUUUAUCAGGAUUUUCAGGGAAAUUUUAUGGGUUUGUAAAACUCCCCUGAUAAUGGCUGCUGGGGUCAACUCCAGCACCUCCGCGACCCAAAUCAGGCUAGGCGGUUCAGUGACUAGCUAGACAAAUGGCAACCCGAAACAUGCUGCGCAAGGCCAAUGAAAUGGCCCGACGUGUGUAAACAAUGUGCACAAUCGAUAAUGUUCUUCCCAAGGCUGAACUUAGUGUACCUCCAUCAAGAAGACCUUGUUUGUUCUGGCGGCGUUGACGAGGUCUUUCACCUGACCAGAGUUCAUGGCGAAGGGUUUCUCACACAGAACAUUCUUGCCAGCAUUGAGGAAGAGGAGGCCCGCUCGCCAGUGUUCUGUGUGCAGCACUCCCACGUAUACAACGUCUGUAUAAAAUAAAUACAUUAUGGGAAUUUA